rnacentral:lncRNA from 1 species
CUGGGGUGCGGGAGGAGGUGGGAGGGUGAGGCUGUGGCCAGCAGGAGCCAGGCCUCAGGGUGCCAGCCUGGACCAGGAGCAUGUGCUGGGGGCUUGCUUUCCGCAAUCAGGCACUUUUUCAAGUUGGUCCUGAACGGUUCUGGACUGGAUGGCAGGCUGCUGUGUGUGAUUGAGAAUGUUGCCUGUCUGAGCCCUGAGAUGAGCUGAGGGUUCCUCCUCCCCAGCCAGCACCAGCCUCACACAGCCCUUGUAAAUCUGAAAGUGCUGUUGGUAGCAACCAGGGAUGGGCAGAGGCAGCCCUGUCCUGAGGGUGACAUGAAAGUGAGAGCAAGCUGAAGCUCCAGUUGGCUUAGUCUUCAAAAGUGUCACUUUCAGAUUAUAUCCCUCAGCUUUAAAAUAUCCUUCUUUGAAGUCCAUCCUGCUCUGCCCACUAUUUGUCCCCGGUGGUCACUUCCUCCUCUGUGCUCCCGUGGCCUGGGAUUCACACCAGGAAAGAACGCCACGAAGAAGGAAUGACAAGAAAAUGGAGGCAAAGAACAUUGGAGUCACUCCCUGGCUACACACACUGAGGUGAUAACCAAGGUGCUCAAAAAGGGCCGGUGUGCCGCAGUGAGUGCCAGUUUGAAUGAAGGAAGCAUGCGUGGCCUGAAGCCUCACCGUGUUCCAGGCGUCCAGUUAAGUGCUCUGCACAUAAUAUCACACAUUGCGCUCCACGAUAAGAACAAAUUCUCACAUGGGAACCGAGCAAAGUGUAAUGGAUGUUCCCAGGAGCUGCCUAUGGGAUUCAAGAAAACUGUAUGAGAGGAGUAACAUUUGGGCUGGAAGCGAAAAUACAAGUAAACAUAUGUCAAAUGGGGUCUGGAAAGCAAUCCUCCACAGAAAGAAAGCAGAAUCUUCUGGGCAUUUCUGAGCAAGUGGACUUCCUUCAGCUGAGCACAGUCCUCAGGAGAAGCGGACAGGUGCAAAGUGUUGGAAGCCAACACUCACAGCAGUUGGGGGUUGGAGUGCUCUGGCUUCCAACAGCAUUGAAACCAACAGCAUUGACUACAGCGAGUUUCUCAAUCUUCAGAACACAUCCCAGCCUCCCUGGGGGCUGCUAAUGCACAGAUUGCCGUUUCCCACUCCAAGAGUUUCUGAUUCCAGAGGUCUGGGGUAGGGCUCGAUAAUUUGUUCUUCUAACCACCUAAUGCUGUUGGUCCAGUGACCACACUUUGAGAAAUGCUGUACUAUGUUUUCUCAUAUAUUUAAAAAUUCUCACCUCAUUUAUGGUUUAAAACUUCUAGAACAAUUCUGAAUAGUUUUUGUAAUAGUGAGCCUCACUUUCCUGUCUCUGCCCUUAAUGGGAAUGUCUCUAAUGAUUCACCUUUCAUACGGGGACUUGUUGUGGUUUACUGGGCAAUUCCUUUUGGCAGGUUAAAAAAAUUCCCUCUGUUUCAAGCUAAAGCCAUUUACCAGGAAGAGACGCUAAGUUUUAUCAGAGGGUUUUUCCAGUAACUAUUGUGAUAAUCAUGGUUUUUUUUCCUAUUUAUUACGAUAUCAAACAUGAAACUUAUUUGAAGUCCUGGAUUAAACGGUGCUUGUUUUCUAUAAUGUUUUGUUCCUUAAAUGUACUGACAAAUUUAAUUUAUUAUUUUUUUAGGAUUUGAGGUACAAGUUCAUACGUGAUAAUGACUUACUGUUUUGUUUUCAUUAUUUCCUCCUUCCAUCCUUUCUUGAUAUCCUUUUUAUCUCUUGGUUUCAAAAUUACACUAGCGUCAUAGAAUGAGUUGGAAAUUAGCCCAUUAUUCUCCAUGCCAUGGAGUGUUUUGCAAAACAUAAGAAUGAUCAGUUCCUUACAUAUUUGGUAGAAUUUACCUUAUAAAACACAGUAGGUUUUGUGUCUCUUCUGGAGUCCAGAUACUGCUAUGGACUGAAUGUUUGUACCCUCUAAGAUUCAUUAGGUUGAAAUCCUAGCCUCAAAGUGGUGGUAUUAGGAGGUGGGACUUUUGGGAGGUGAUCAGGCCAAGAGGGUGGAGCCCUCAUGAAUGGGAUUAGUGCCCUUAUCAAAUAAGGCAAAAGGAGCUCUUUAACCUCUCCCACCAUGUGAGGACAAAGUGAAAAGACACCAUCUAUGAACCAGGAAGCAGGGCCUCACCGGAUGCCAAACCUGCCAGCACCUGGCCCUUGGACUUCCAGCCACCAGAACUGUGAAGAAGAAAUUUCUAUUGCUUAUAAAUACCCAGUUUACGGCAUUCUGUUAUAGAAGUGCCUAAUAGGCUAAGGCAAAUACUAUAUGGUAUUUAGGAUUGCUUCUGUAUAUUUUUAAGACUUUUUUAUUUUGGAAUAAUAAUAAUUCACAGAAAAUUUACAGAGAAAGUCUCCACAUGCCCCUCACCCCACUUCCCCUAAUGUUAACAUAACCGUGGUCCAUUUGUCAAAACUAAGAAAUGAGGAUUGGUACCAUACUAUUGACUGAAUUACAGACAUUACUUGGAUUUUGUCAAUUGUUUUACUAAUAUUCUAUUAUUUCUGUGUCAGAUUCCAAUCUGGAUAACAUGUUGCAUUUGUUCAUCACGUCUCCUUUGUUUUUCCUGGGCUGUGACAGUUUCUUAUUCUUUUCUUGUAUUGCCUGGCUUUGAAUUUUGAGGAAUUCUGGUUAAGUAUUUUGUAAACUGUCACUAAAUUUUGCUUGUCAGAUGUUUUCUCCUGGGUUAGACUGGGCUUACAGGUUUUGGGGAAGAACUCUACAAAAGGGAAAUGUCUUUCUCAUCUCAUCUAAUAAAUGGAUAUAGGAUAUCAACUUAACUUAUUCCUGGCAAUGGUAAUCUUGACAUCAUGGUUAAGGGAGUACCUGCCAAGUUACCACAAGGAAAGUUUCUAUUUUUUCAUUCUUAUACUCAAUUCUUUGGAAGCAAGUCACGAAGUCCAGCUCACACUCAAAAAUAGGGAAAUUAAACCUUACCUUUUUGCAUAGGGGAUACGAACUUUAAAAAAAACAAUCUUCUGAAAGGAGUCUUGUCUCUUGUAGUUCCAUGUUUAAUGCUAUCAUGUAUUUGUUUUUAUUAAUAUGAACUCAUAAAUACUCAUUUUAUUGGAAUAAUCCAUUAUCAUAUAUUUUGUUGCUCAGAGUAUUCCAGCUUUGACCACUGGGCUUUUUCAGGUUGACUUCUGUGUCCUUUUGACUUGCCCCCAUCUAUUAUUAUGUAUUUUUUUUUAGCAGUUUCUUACUUUUGUCACUUCAAGAUGUUCCAGACUUAGUUUGUAUUUUUCUUACUCCAUCUUUAGAAUCAGCCAUUUCUUUAAGGAGCUUUGGGUUCUUUUAUUGGAGAGUGGUAUUUGGAAACCAAGAUCUGGGCAUUAGGUAUGCUCAUUGCUACCGGGAUGUCACUGCUUCUAGGCCCUCUCAGCUGGACAGAGGUAUGACAUACAUGUGUGUAAAUUAAUCUACAUAUAUCGACAUAUCUAUAAUUAGCUCUGUCAUAUUCACUAUUUAAUUUACAACCUCUUUUUUUGGUAGAUGUUUGCAAUCCAUAUUUUACUUACUGAUUAACAGUUUUAAUUUUUGGUAACAAUUCAUAAAAUAGAAAAUUGCAAUUUUAAUAGAGCUUUUCCAAAUCUGGAAUUAUAUACUCUCUCUGGAGUAUACAUUAUUCAU